rnacentral:rRNA from 1 species
UUGUAAUUUAGAAUAUUAAAAAUAAUUAUAUAGUUUAUAGUUUUAGUAUUUUAUAAAGAAAAAAUAAUUUUUAUUAUAGUAUAUUAGUAUUGUGAAAGAAAAUUGAAAUAUUUGAAAAAUUAUUAUUUAAAAAGAAAAUUUAAUUUAUUGUACCUUGUGUAUCAGGGUUUAUUAAAUAAAUAUUAUAUAUUAUAAUUUUCUCGAUUUUAAAAGAGUUAAUAUAUUAUUGAAGUUAAUGUGAUAAAAUUAUUUUUAAUAUUAUAUUGGAAAUGAAAUGUUAUUCGUUUUUAAAGGUAUCUAGUUUUUUAAGAAAUAAAUUUAAUUUAGAAGUUUUAUAUUAUUUAAUUGGUUAUUUAAUUAAAUGAAUAUUUAAUCUUAAUAUUUUAUGGGAUAAGCUAUAAGAUAAAAUUUUAAAAAUAAAUAAGUUAUUAUAUAAAUAUAAGCUUAGAAAUAGUUAUUAUUAGUAAGUAUGUUAUAAUUUAUUUUAUAAAUAUUAAUAUUUAUUUUAUUUUAAAUUUUUAUUAAAAUAUUUAUUUUAAUUAAGAAAAUAAAUUAAUAAUGAUAAAAUUAGUAUAUAAUUAUGUAAAAAUAAUUUAAUUUGAAAAGUUUUUGUAAAGAAUUCGGCAAAAUAGUAUUCGCCUGUUUAACAAAAACAUGUCUUUUUGUAUAUUUAUAAAAAGUCUAACCUGCCCACUGAAUAAUUAAAUGGCCGCAGUAUAUUAACUGUGCAAAGGUAGCAUAAUCAUUAGUCUUUUAAUUGAAGGCUGGUAUGAAUGGUUGGACGAAAUAUUAACUGUUUCAUAAAAAAUUAUAAUAGAAUUUUAUUUUUUAGUAAAAAAGCUAAAAUAAAAUUAAAAGACGAGAAGACCCUAUAAAUCUUUAUAUUUAAGUUAUUUUAAAAUUGUAGAUUUUUUAAUUUUAUAGUAAUAAUUAAUAUUUUAUUGGGGUGAUAUUAAAAUUUAAUAAACUUUUAAUUUUUAGAAUCAUUAAUUUAUGAAUAAUUGAUCCGUUUUUAACGAUUAUAAAUUUAAGUUACUUUAGGGAUAACAGCGUAAUUUUUUUUGAGAGUUCUUAUCGAUAAAAAAGAUUGCGACCUCGAUGUUGGAUUAAGAUAUAAUUUUAGGUGUAGAAGCUUAAACUUUAAGUCUGUUCGACUUUUAAAUUCUUACAUGAUCUGAGUUCAAACCGGUGUAAGCCAGGUUGGUUUCUAUCUUUAAUACAUUAAAAUAUUCUAGUACGAAAGGACCUAAUAUUUAAUAAAUAGUUAUUUUUAUAUUGAAUGUUAUUAAUAUGAACUAUUUUGGCAGAUUAGUGCAA